rnacentral:rRNA from 1 species
GACGCUGCCUGGCUCGGCACCUGGUCUUAGCCCCUUCAGACAGACUAGGCACCGAGUCUUGAAAACGAAAGGCAGGCUCCUGCCGUCCGCGCCGAACUUACGUUCGGGACACAGCAGAUGGGUCGCGGCGUCGGUAACGGCACUUCUCGCUAUCUCCCUCUCUCCCCUUCUUGUUCGCUGGCCGCGCGGUACCUCAAGGAGUGCGUCGGUUAGGCGUCUAGGUGAUACUAACUCCUCCAGCCUCUCUCAGAUCACGGCCUUCCAAGCGACCGCCUACCAUGCUCCGCUUACCCAAGCUCGCCGCUGCCCGCCUAGACGCCACGCAGUCCUCGCCGCCGUUAAUCGCCGCUUCCCGCUUAGACGUCGCGCCAAGUUCGCCGUCGUCAUUCUUCCCUGUCGAUCGGAGGCUGCAGCCUCGACAGUCUGUCCCUUCUACUUAGGGGUCGGAGGACCGACCUUAUUCCCAAAGAUACGGCGUCUUCCCCGCCGACCACCACUUGAGCUGCCCCCUGGCGUUCGUAGACUCGUUAGGUAACCAGUCCCAAUGAGCUUUAGAGGACGUACCUGCGCGUCCGUUGGAUAACCUAAACCUCGUGCGAUUAAAACCAUACACCUAAUGGACCAGAAAACGAGUCAAUCUCAACACUUACUCGGCACACCAAGAAACUAAUACGAAUACCUUUUUGUUAGACAUAUUACCACGUUAAUGUUUAUCACCUUUAACCCUCGACGACUCGUAAGGUCUAUCUUCUUACGUUAAAAACACAUGUCAUGUACCGUAUCAAUCAGGACGAACCAUCUAAUACACGACUUCAUGUGUUUUGUUUAGACUUGCGUAAGAAACAGAACAUACUCUUUAAGUCAGAACAUUUAGCGACUGCUGUCAUACUUUUAAAUCAUCGUUGUUUGUAUUGCGUAUGUUUUCACCGUAGCGGCUCAUCUACGUCACCUUCAAGUCAUUAAACCAAAUCUGUACACAAACAUAAAACCAAGACUAAACUAUUCGACAUCUACCUUAAAACACACUAUUGUACGUCACACUUACAAGUCAUUUAACCAGACAUACAAGAAAAAUCAAGCAACACGAAGUCAUAACACUAUUGUACG